AACGAACGCUGGCGGCAGGCUUAACACAUGCAAGUCGAACGCAUCCUUCGGGAUGAGUGGCAGACGGGUGAGUAACGCGUGGGAAUCUACCCAUCCCUACGGGAUAGCUCCGGGAAACUGGAAUUAAUACCGUAUACGUCCUUCGGGAGAAAGAUUUAUCGGGGAUGGAUGAGCCCGCGUUGGAUUAGCUAGUUGGUGGGGUAAAGGCCUACCAAGGCGACGAUCCAUAGCUGGUCUAAGAGGAUGAUCAGUCACAUUGGGACUGAGACACGGCCCAAACUCCUACGGGAGGCAGCAGUGGGGAAUAUUGGACAAUGGGCGCAAGCCUGAUCCAGCCAUGCCGCGUGAGUGAUAAAGGCCCUAGGGUUGUAAAGCUCUUUCAGUGGGGACGAUAAUGACGGUACCCACAGAAGAAGCCCCGGCUAACCUCGUGCCAGCAGCCGCGGUAA
rnacentral:rRNA from 1 species